rnacentral:tRNA from 1 species
CGACCAGGGGGGUGUACCCCCAUAUGUAGGUUUACAGCCUACCGCCUAACUCAGCCACCUGACC